GAACGGGUGAGUAACACGUGGGUGAUCUGCCCUGGACUCUGGGAUAAGCCUGGGAAACUGGGUCUAAUACCGGAUAGGACCACUGAUUGCAUGGUUGGUGGUGGAAAGCUUUUGCGGUUCAGGAUGGGCCCGCGGCCUAUCAGCUUGUUGGUGGGGUAAUGGCCUACCAAGGCGACGACGGGUAGCCGACCUGAGAGGGUGAUCGGCCACACUGGGACUGAGACACGGCCCAGACUCCUACGGGAGGCAGCAGUGGGGAAUAUUGCACAAUGGGCGCAAGCCUGAUGCAGCGACGCCGCGUGAGGGAUGACGGCCUUCGGGUUGUAAACCUCUUUCGCUAGGGACGAAGCGUAAGUGACGGUACCUGGAGAAGAAGCACCGGCCAACUACGUGCCAGCAGCCGCGGUAAUACGUAGGGUGCGAGCGUUUUCCGGAAUUACUGGGCGUAAAGAGCUCGUAGGCGGUUUGUCGCGUCGUCUGUGAAAUUCUGCAACUCAAUUGCAGGCGUGCAGGCGAUACGGGCAGACUUGAGUACUACAGGGGAGACUGGAAUUCCUGGUGUAGCGGUGAAAUGCGCAGAUAUCAGGAGGAACACCGGUGGCGAAGGCGGGUCUCUGGGUAGUAACUGAC
rnacentral:rRNA from 1 species